rnacentral:rRNA from 1 species
UACGAAGGGUGCAAACGUUGCUCGGAAUUAUUGGGCGUAAAGCGCACGUAGGCGGCAUUGCAAGUCGGAUGUGAAAUCCCUCGGCUUAACCAAGGAAGUGCAUCCGAAACUGCUGUGCUUGAGUACUUAAGAGGAUCGCGGAAUUCCCGGUGUAGAGGUGAAAUUCGUAGAUAUCGGGGGAACACCAGUGGCGAAGGCGGCGAUCUGGGAAGAUACUGACGCUGAGGUGCGAAAGCGUGGGGAGCAAACAGG